UACGUAGGGGGCGAGCGUUGUCCGGAUUUAUUGGGCGUAAAGAGCUCGUAGGCGGUUCGGUAAGUCGGAUGUGAAAUCUCCACGCUCAACGUGGAGGGGGCAUUCGAUACUGCCGUGACUCGAGUCCGGUAGGGGAGUGUGGAAUUCCCGGUGUAGCGGUGAAAUGACGCAGAGAUCGGGAGGAACACCCGUAGCGAAGGCGGCACUCUGGGCCGGUACUGACGCUGAGGAGCGAAAGCGUGGGGAGCAAACAGG
rnacentral:rRNA from 1 species